GCAGCAUCGGAAGAAUACAGACGACAGUUGAGAGAGAAUCAUCUGGCUGCAAUAAGCAGUCAGAGGGAAUUCAGAAUGAAUAAUCUUGAAUCCCAAGUCUCCAAUAUGACAACUGCUCCAGAAGAUUUUCAUUGUAUUGAACUGGAAAAAUAUAAACACUUCUAUCAAUUAGAGUUAGAAGACAGAAAAUACUUGCCAAAGAAACUAAAAAUAGCUACUGAGAGGCCAGCAGCGUUCAGUAGCAGUCUUGUUGCAGAGACACAGGAGACCAGAAGUUUCUCUGGCCCUUGUACAAUGAGCACAGAGUCAGCUUCUGCUGGAACUGUUGUUGAUGGGUUAGGUCUUCACAGAGAAUUUCCUGGAAGAGAAUACUCACUGUUUUCUUCUUCCUGCCCAUGGACUUUAGAUACCAGCUUGAAGAAUAACUUGAGUGAGAUGCAGCAGGAGUUGGAAGAAAUAACUGUAGGACUAGAAGUAGGUGCUGCUGGAUACGGUCCUCUAGAAGAGUUUCUCCUCUAGGAUACAUUAAUGAGUCAAGUCUAAAUGAAUAUAUUCUUUGGAAGGCAUCUCAACAAUAUAUGCCAAUUUUUUUUUAAAUUAUAUGAUGUGAAAGACUUUUAAUUGGAUCUUGCCAAUGAAAGCCAAUUUUAUAUCCUCAAACUGUCAAAGUAUUUAGAUCAUGUGUGUUUUGACAAGUGUAUCACAGAAGUGAUCCUGUGGAUCUUCUCUUUGCAUCCUAACAUGGGAUCUACAUCUGAUUUGUCUUAUUCCUGAUGAUGUUAGCAUUGACCGCUAAUGGUGGUAUCUGCUGUGUUUGAGAUUUGACUUGCUGAAUGAGCCAAGCAUAGUACCUGAAAUAAAUCUAACUCAGUCAGGCAUCCACAGCUCAUGAGAAUUAUUCACAAAUAUCCCCUCUUGCCCCUGGGUUUUGUGAUUGGGACCUGAGUGUACUGGAUCUGACAUGUGGGCCCAUCCUCUGGGCCCUGGAGAUCAAUCCCUGAACAUAGCAGGGAGAAGCGUACUGUUCCCAAGUCCCUCCUGGGAUGCUCAAGCUGGAUCAAUGUCCCUCCACUUCGGGCUGUGUCCCACUCUGCUGAAGUCACCAGCAACAGUACCAGGAAUGGCCAGCAGGCAGUGCACUCACAGUCCAAGCACCUCUUUUUUCUGCUACAGGACCUCCAGAGAAAAGGUAUGAGCUCCAUUCCCUGUGGGAGCCUCUGUGUGGUGGCUCAAUUUUUUCUCUCAGUAGCCAUGGGAGGGGGAGGGGAAGGGAAGAAAAAGAGUCUAGGUGGAGGAAAGUCCACUCUCUCGUCUUCUUCAAACCUCUCUCUGGGAGGCAGUCCACCCAGAAUGACGGGUGUGUGGAAUCACUCUCAUCAUCCAGGACCCACUGCACUCAUGUGGCUCCUGCAGUCUGGGCCAGAGUUGAGAAAUGUCUGUGUUGGGAUGAGGAAGAUGGAACCAGAAUGUUUGGGGCACCCUGGUGAAGACAAAGGCAGCAGGCAGGGGAUGGAGAACAGCUUCCUACUUUGUCUGUUGCUACCACUCCAAAGUGAAAAUCAUAAUGCCUACUUUUGCCAGAUGGGAAAUAGAAGAUGAGCUCCUUCGUUGGUGCCAGUAAUACCAGCAGGCAAGAACAUCAAAGCACGGCUGCUUCUGUUCA